rnacentral:rRNA from 1 species
UACGAGUGCCUCAAGCGUUAUCCGGAAUUAUUGGGCGUAAAGGGUGUGUAGGCGGUUUUGUUAGUCUUCUGUGAAAUUCUUCGGCUUAACCGGGGGUCCGCAGAGGAAACGGCAAAACUUGAGGAUGCGAGAGGUGAAUGGAACUCAUAGUGUAGGGGUGAAAUCCGUUGAUAUUAUGGGGAACACCAAAAGCGAAGGCAAUUCACUGGCGCACUCCUGACGCUGAAACACGAAAGCGUGGGUAGCGAAUGGG